GCUACACAUGCAAGUCGAGCGGAUGAGGGAAGCUUGCUUCCUGAUUUAGCGGCGGACGGGUGAGUAAUGCCUAGGAAUCUGCCUGUUAGUGGGGGAUAACGUUCCGAAAGGAACGCUAAUACCGCAUACGUCCUACGGGAGAAAGUGGGGGAUCUUCGGACCUCACGCUAACAGAUGAGCCUAGGUCGGAUUAGCUAGUAGGUGAGGUAAUGGCUCACCUAGGCUACGAUCCGUAACUGGUCUGAGAGGAUGAUCAGUCACACUGGAACUGAGACACGGUCCAGACUCCUACGGGAGGCAGCAGUGGGGAAUAUUGGACAAUGGGCGAAAGCCUGAUCCAGCCAUGCCGCGUGUGUGAAGAAGGUCUUCGGAUUGUAAAGCACUUUAAGUUGGGAGGAAGGUCUGUAAGUUAAUACCUUGCA
rnacentral:rRNA from 1 species